rnacentral:rRNA from 1 species
GACGAACGCUGGCGGCGUGCUUAACACAUGCAAGUCGAACGGAAAGGCCCUGCUUUUGUUGGGUGCUCGAGUGGCGAACGGGUGAGUAACACGUGAGUAACCUGCCCAUGACCUUGGGAUAACGUCAGGAAACUGGGGCUAAUACCGGAUAGGAGCUCCUGCUGCAUGGUGGGGGUUGGAAAGGUUCGGCGGUUGGGGAUGGACUGGCGGCUUAUCAGCCUGUUGGUGGGGUAGUGGCUUACCAAGGCUUCGACGGGUAGCCGGCCUGAGAGGGUGACCGGCAACAUUGGGAAUGAGAUACGGCCGGGACUCCUACGGGAGGCAGCAGUGGGGAAUAUUGCAUGAUGGGCGGAAGCCUGAUGCAGCAACGCCGCGUGCUGGAUGACGGCCUUCGGGUUGUAAACCGCUUUCGCCUGUGACGAAGCGUGAGUGAAGGUAAUGGGUAAAGAAGCACCGGCUAACUACGUG